AUCCAGAUGACGAGUUCCGAACAGGAUGAAACGCGCGUUCUGGAU
rfam:Schistosoma margrebowiei strain Zambia genome assembly, scaffold: SMRZ_scaffold0000174